CGUACAACCGUUGCUUCUGGAUUAUAUGCACUGGUCCGUCAACACUUUUUUGUGGCACAUACGGUUUUAUCAUUAGGCUUUAUUAUCAACAUUCUUUUUCCUUCUUUUCCUCUUUUUCAUGACUAGCUUUCCUAUUUCUCUGUAGUCCUAUAACCUUAUUUUUGUUUUAACACACACACAUACACUCACUCACCCUUAUGUAAAUACCAGUUUGAACUGUAGUUUAAUGUAUUGCUCAAGAUGGACCCUGUUUAUGGUGCUUCUCAAUGAAUUUUCUCUUAAACUGGUUUGAAAUCAUCUGGAGACCUUAAUGAAUUUUCUCUUAAGCUGGUUUGAGAGGGAUAAUGCCCUGUUGCUGUAGGGUAAAUUCAAGGUAAUCUUGCGGCCAUUAGAUUGUAGCCCAUGUUUACUGUUGGUUAAUGGAGUUUGCUGAAUGAAUGAACUUUCAGUUUGAGUUGAUGUUCUGAUCCAUUGGAAGGUCUAUUGAUUCUCUUUAGAAGAUGGGAUAGAAUCAGAUGGUCCUCUACUUUGGUGCUGGCAAUAAUUGUUCAGAUUGUUGUUGUUUUUUCAUAUUGUUCUCUUGAAACACUUGUGAUUAGGUUUCAGACUUUCUACCCUUUAAUAUGUUAUUCUAUCUCCAUUAUACAGAUCAAACAUUAUGUUUGCUAUCGUGAUUAGGUUUCUGACCUUCUACUCUUUGAUAUAUCAUUCUAUCUACAGUUCAAAACAUAAUUUUUUUCCUAUUCUCUUGAUAUGUUAAUGGAGUUCCUGGAAUGUGAGCUGUGUAGGUUGCAUGAUUGGUUUGUUUGAAUUUGCCUUUUCACAUUUCUUUUCCCUUUUGGGAUAAAUUACCAUAUCUAAUCUGCAUUACCAAUUUUGUAAUUCAGAUCAGAAACACAAGAACCGUUAAUCGAACUGGGCAGCUUACACGGUACAAUUACAAAUUAGUACCUGGUUCAAAUUGUCUACCUUUGGCUGGUUCAGAGGCAAAAUUCUUAAGAAGAACUGCUUUCUUGAAACAUAAUCUGUGGGUAGUGCCUCAUGCUCAUAUGAUGAAAUGUAUCCUGGAGGAUAGUUUCCCAAUCAAAAUCCUCUUGAAGGAGGGCGAUUGGCUACUUGGGUGAAGCAAAAUUGCUAAUAUAGUUCCAUAGCGAGUUCACCCACUCUUGUUUCCUCCUCCUAUCUCAUCUUCUAAUAUAUAGCAUCAUAUAUACUUCUGUUUCUGUAGUAGUAAAAACUGAGUUAUGUGUGUAUGUUCAUUAUUUAUGGAAAAAUAAGGGCUGCUUCCUGUUCUGAAUAGAAGUGGGACAGCAGAGGUGAUGAAAAUCUUUCUUCAUUUUCCCAUCAGAGUAUCUUGUACGUACUAAUAGUGCAUGCAUAUGAAGCUAUGAGCACACGCUCUACUUGCAUUAUACCUGGUUGGAUUCUAUAAUCUGAUGGUGGAUUAUAUGUACAAAGAAAAAAAAGCUAAAAAAGUCAGUUGAGCUUAGCAUAGAUUCUUAUGAAAAUGAAUUUAGAUCAUUUGAAGCUGCAGAUGUAUCUUCAUAUAUUAACAUUUAAUCAUUUAUAUAAAAUUAUUUCAGGAAUGUAUCUGGAGUGACACACAUUCCCUGAUUGGAAGACUGACCUGUCAUGCCAGUGGAACGCAUUGUUUUUAUGCCAAUGGUACAGGACUCGUAAUUAAAGCAGGGAUUCUUAGAGUCACACCACAAUAAUCAAAUGGCAAACAAAUGAAUGAUGACCAUUUGAGGUGCAAUUAAUGCAGCAAUAGUAGAGUUACAAUUGUGUUAUUCUUUACCCUAUUUGUGAUGCAGCCACACAGAUUCUUUAACUGCGUACCAGCAAUGGAUGUUCCCCCAAGUUCAAGUGAUUUGGAUGUCAAGGACAAUGGAAUGACAGCAAAUCCUAUCCAGAAUGGACUAUAGCCAUUGGCUCAACUUCCAGGAACAUGAUACUUGAUUAGUAUGAUGUAUCAUAUUAUUUGGAAUGUCACCUUUGUUAUGAUGGUCACAUAUAUGUUCAAAAUGUCUAUCAUGGUGUGGUAGCUUUUGCCUUGAUAAUGUAGUUUUGUCUUGUCAUAGGCACAUGAUACCUUUUGAGUUGUCAUGUCAUGUGUUCCUUGCCCACAUGCUCCAUGUACGAAGUGAAUGCAUUCUGCUGCUGCAGGUCAAGUCGGUAA